rnacentral:rRNA from 1 species
UACGUAGGGUGCGAGCGUUGUUCGGAAUUACUGGGCGUAAAGGGCGCGUAGGCGGCCCGCUAAGUCGAACGUGAAAUCCCCGGGCUCAACCCGGGAACUGCGUCCGAUACUGGUGGGCUCGAAUCCGGGAGAGGGAUGCGGAAUUCCAGGUGUAGCGGUGAAAUGCGUAGAUAUCUGGAGGAACACCGGUGGCGAAGGCGGCAUCCUGGACCGGUAUUGACGCUGAGGCGCGAAAGCCAGGGGAGCAAACGGG